CCAUGUCGUCGGGGCCUUCCCCUUCCCUGCUGCGGGCGCCCCAUGACCGCGCUGACUCCGUGGGGGUGGUUACAACCGCCUCCCAUGUCUUUCUUCCCAGCUCGGCAUCCGGGACCCAACUCGCUCUGGGCUACAUAAGGACAGGCGUGCCGCUCCUCCCUCCGUUUGCAACUGCCCCUAGGAUCGCGUUGUAGACCACCGCCGGUGCGAGUUGAAGAAUCAAGAGAGAGAGAGGUAACCCGCGACUGCUGCCGUCACCUCGCCCGCGGCGUGCUUGAGUCGGAAAGUGGAUGAGGGCAAUCCCAAGGCUCGGUGAAGCCGUUCAUGGCCAACGAGCGUAUCGAGGUCUCCGGCGAUAGUCCGUCCAUCAUCGGGGCUUGUGUCUCGUGUCAGACUGCGCGGUGACAUGACCAGCUUCGUCCUCGUCGUCUCAGCACAGGUGGAAAACUCUGAGCAGGAGCUCGUUGAAGGCAAGUUGUGCCCUUGAUCACUGUUGGGGGCCUUACUCUUUCGAAGGUCCUCAAAAACAUGACUAACCAUUUGUUUCUAGCAUACUACUAAAUAUUACAUGAGCUUCGUCAUAAGAAAAGCUUCGUGGUGAGGAUCUUCUUCCCCGCCGAAGAUCCUCGAGACGAAGACAUUGUCUGAAAGCGAUAACGACGAAUACCGAAGCUACAACCGAAGGAUGACGACUUCGUCUUGAGGGGGCAACGAAGGUCAAACAUGAUGCCGAGCCAAAGAGGGAAAGACUAGCUAAUCACCGAUGAUUUAUGUCGCGAUUAUGGCUGUAUGUUAAGGUCAUAAAUGUAUUUUUACUCAGGUUGCGUCCCGUGCCUAUAAAUCAGUGAAUAGUACCCCCGUACUGUUCACGCUGGAUUGUAAUCACUCUCGCGUCAACAUCUUCAAUCAGGCUGAAGGUUUAAAGUUGAUAUAAAUUCUGUUAAUGUUCAUUUGUAUAUCAUGAAAUAAUAUAUGGAUGAAUGAAUGAAUAACGUAUAUUGUCUUUAUGAA